rnacentral:rRNA from 1 species
UACGUAUGGGGCGAGCGUUAUCCGGAAUUAUUGGGCGUAAAGAGUACGUAGGUGGUUUUUUAAGCGGGAGGUUUAAGGCUACGGCUUAACCGUAGUUCGCCUCUCGAACUGGAAGACUUGAGUGCAGGAGAGGAAAGCGGAAUUCCUAGUGUAGCGGUGAAAUGCGUAGAUAUUAGGAGGAACACCGGUGGCGAAGGCGGCUUUCUGGACUGUAACUGACACUGAGGUACGAAAGCGUGGGGAGCAAACAGGAUUAGAUACCCGUGUAGUCCCUGAGCGGGCUGGCAAGG